rnacentral:rRNA from 1 species
ACGCUCGACACCUACGGAGGCAGCAGUGAGGAAUAUUGGUCAAUGGACGCAAGUCUGAACCAGCCAUGCCGCGUGCAGGAUGACGGCUCCAUGAGUUGUAAACUGCUUUUGUACGAGGGUAAACGCAGAUACGUGUAUCUGUCUGAAAGUAUCGUACGAAUAAGGAUCGGCUAACUCCGUGCCCGCAGCCGCGGUAAUCUGAGCGGGCUGGCAAGGC